rnacentral:rRNA from 1 species
GAUGAACGCUGGCGGCGUGCUUAACACAUGCGAGUCGAACGAAGCACUUUAUUUGAUUUCCUUCGGGACUGAUUAUUUUGUGACUGAGUGGCGGACGGGUGAGUAACGCGUGGGUAACCUGCCUUGUACAGGGGGAUAACAGUUGGAAACGGCUGCUAAUACCGCAUAAGCGCACAGCAUCGCAUGAUGCAGUGUGAAAAACUCCGGUGGUAUAAGAUGGACCCGCGUUGGAUUAGCUAGUUGGUGAGGUAACGGCCCACCAAGGCGACGAUCCAUAGCCGACCUGAGAGGGUGACCGGCCACAUUGGGACUGAGACACGGCCCAAACUCCUACGGGAGGCAGCAGUGGGGAAUAUUGCACAAUGGGCGAAAGCCUGAUGCAGCGACGCCGCGUGAGCGAAGAAGUAUUUCGGUAUGUAAAGCUCUAUCAGCAGGGAAGAUAAUGAUGGUACCUGACUAAGAAGCACCGGCUAAAUACGUG